GGCAAAGUAGCCAAGCGGUCUAAGGCGCCAGGUUCAGGUACACCUGAAUUCAAUAUCCUGGUCUCAGAAAUGGGGCGCGAGUUCGAAUCUCGUCUUUGUCA
rnacentral:tRNA from 1 species